AAAUAAACAAACACGUAAAAUUCAUUCCAUCACCAACCUUUUAAAAUUAUGAAUAUAUAUAUGAUGAUGAUGAUGCAUUGUGCUUGUAAAUAAGAUCAUUUGUAUCUUUGUCAAAUUUGUUUAACACUUCACCCCAUGUCUAGUCCAACAGAAAAUAUUUUAAUUUAAACGAUCGACAAUAUGCAAUGAUCGAUGCAAAUGUCAACUGUGUCUAGUCUCUAAUUUCUCUAUGUCAAAUUAAAACUAUUUAGAGCAGUAGCCGGUGUAUAAAUAUAUAUAUAUAAUCUCUAUUAUUGAGUUAACAACCCACGGGCAAAAGAAGAGUAUCCACAAUCAAUAUUCUCAUUUAGAUUAUUAUACUUAGCUAAUUCGAGAUUUAUGAUCUUAAUAUUCCACCACAGUUCACAAUCGAUGCCCAUAAACUAACAUCAUACAUAUCCAGUUUAGAUAUGCAAAUAUUUCCCAACUAUUCUGAUCCAUUCACAGUUAUUGCUUCUAUGAACACAAUAGUUAAAACAAUCCCAAGAAAUUAUAAACCUUCAUGAGUAUCGUCAUAGAUAGGGCGACAUGACUGAAAAAAGACGAGAUCAAUUCCAUACUCUUGAAGUGAUGCCGCACGUAAACUUAUUUAUAUUUAGGCCGUGUUUGAGAUUGAA
rnacentral:lncRNA from 1 species